rnacentral:lncRNA from 12 species
AGUAACUUGGCAGAGAACCAUGGGCCACCUCUCUGAGACAGACUCAUUUUGCACAAGCCAAUGACCACUGCAUGGUUUGCAGGAAAUUGUGAAAGCAGCAUAUGUGGCUUAUUCCACAGAAUUUGAUGGAACUAUGACAGUUGCCUGCAUAUUUGAAGAACAGGAAUUUUACUAAAUGAAGGGCUUCAAUGCAGUUGCUCUAAC